rnacentral:rRNA from 2 species
UGGAGAGUUUGAUCCUGGCUCAGGAUGAACGCUGGCGGCGUGCCUAAUACAUGCAAGUCGAGCGAACAGAUAAGGAGCUUGCUCCUUUGACGUUAGCGGCGGACGGGUGAGUAACACGUGGAUAACCUACCUAUAAGACUGGGAUAACUUCGGGAAACCGGAGCUAAUACCGGAUAACAUAUUGAACCGCAUGGUUCAAUAGUGAAAGGCGGCUUUGCUGUCACUUAUAGAUGGAUCCGCGCCGUAUUAGCUAGUUGGUAAGGUAACGGCUUACCAAGGCAACGAUACGUAGCCGACCUGAGAGGGUGAUCGGCCACACUGGAACUGAGACACGGUCCAGACUCCUACGGGAGGCAGCAGUAGGGAAUCUUCCGCAAUGGGCGAAAGCCUGACGGAGCAACGCCGCGUGAGUGAUGAAGGUCUUCGGAUCGUAAAACUCUGUUAUCAGGGAAGAACAAAUGUGUAAGUAACUGUGCACAUCUUGACGGUACCUGAUCAGAAAGCCACGGCUAACUACGUGCCAGCAGCCGCGGUA